AAAGAAAGAAAAAAAAAAAAAAAAAAAACAACAACAAAAAGAAGCAUUAUGGGAGAUUUGGGGAAGAAAAUGGCUCUCGGCUGUGGUGCCACCGGAAGGCCCUGUCCCUGCCUGCCCUCCGCUCCUCCAGCUGAUGGCAAAGCCUGGAAGAAAAUAUAUUUUUUUAAUGGGCUAUUUGCUUUCCUUCACCAUUCCCCAUAAACACGGCUUUUUGUCUCAUAGCGAAGAUGCACUCUUGCUUUUAUAAGCCGUCUUAAGCACCACUUCUUACAUCAAUGGCUUUAAAUGAAAAAAGAAAGCGCUUUUGAAUACAAAUGUGGCAUUUACUUCCUUAAUGCCUCUCUUGCGCUAAGCUACCUUCAAACCCAUCAGAGACACUUUAAUAUAUUGAACAGAACUCCCCUCAUUUUGAUGCUAAUGCAGCAUUUCAUGCAGAUAAUGUGCUUGAAUCAUGCACUGAAAUACAUUAAAGGUGAAAUCCAGAGCCUGGAAAACCCUCUGGUGUCUCAGUGCUCCCCUCCUUCCCCCGACCUGCAUCCACUUUUGGGGUCUGGCCAAGCCUCUUGGUAGGUCCAAGGCCAAGCUUGUCCUACAUGACUUGGUUGGUGCCUUCUAAUCAAUCAAAAACCCCAAAUCACCUGUUGUUUUUCAUGCUGUUGCUCUGCAAUGGGCUGUUCACUGGUGGGACUCCUUGCUGGGAGGUCCUAAUGCAGCAUCGUGUGGAUGCAGCCUUCAUCGUCGCUGUGCCAGGACACACUGAAAGCCAGAAAUGACUUUUUUCAACCCGAGGAGAGCAUUUCUAUGCUCUUGUUGUGCUACUUAUAACCCUAAACACCUCUCGUCCUCCUUCGGACGCAGGUAUCGAUGACCCCACCUGGAUGCGUUAUCACGUUCCUCUUCUCCUAAUGCGUGAUAGCAGGGACCAGGUGGUAGGAGAGGGGCUGCCUCUUCCAUUUGUUGUUCACUGUGAGUCAAAACUAAUAAUUAAGCUCUGAAUCUGGGUCAUUAGGAAUCGAAUCCCCUUGCAAUAAAAGCAUAAAGCUUCCAUUUUGGGUCAGUGGGUGUCGGAGGACUUGACAAGAGGCACCUUGUUAGAAAGGGAUUAAUUUAUUCAUGGAAACCUUGCUUUGUUUUGAAGAAAUCAAAGCCAGCCACGUCAAAGUUUGGCAAUUCUUUCAACUGUGCUUUUCUGUGACUGCAGUGGUGUGGCUGGGGGUUGGAAAAAAAAAAAAAAAGAAAAAAAAAGAAAGAUUUCUGCUAAAACUGCUGUUAUCUGUGUCUGCAGCUCCUUGGAGCAACCCCCUUGUCCUGGGUAGGAUGCACCAAACUCAGCUCACUUGUACCAUCAUUGGGGUGAGGGCGUUGGGCUCACCCCUGAAGUCUUCAGGGUCAUUUUUUCUCCUUUGUAAUUAAUGCUGCCACCUCUCUGGUGUGAGCUGUGCUGUGGUCUUCUGCUAGCACGGUGUGUGAGUUAAGCUGUCUGGGUAUGUUCCUGAAGAACUAAAGAUAUUACUAUUAUUUUUUCUCCCUCUCUCAUUACUCACUUACAAGAAUCUCACAGAAUGGAAGUAAUGGAUAACAAACAAAAGCUCAGACCUCAUUAAUGUCACCGUGCCCUUCCUGGGUGGCUACGUGUGGCUUUUCCUGGUAAGGCUCAGCGCAGCGGCGCGUGGGGCAGCACCGAGCAUGGGAAGGGAAAAGCUGCAGAUGGGAAACGUGUCUCACCUGUAAAACAGUUAAACCUAAUUUCCUCUCCCUCUCCAGCCUCAGAAAAACCCAAACCACAAGAAAAUUGGGCUGUAACGCUCUUGGCUCGAUGCACCUCUGGUUUGUUUGGAGCAGGAGUGAUGUUUUUCUGAGCCAGGCGCUUUAUUCUCCUUGCUCUGCCACCUUGCAACGAUGUCCCCACAUCAAAUAUUUUACAUAAAGCCCCGAAAAUAUUUCCAAAAAAUAUUCUCCCUUGGCAAGUGUCUCUGGUGGGAGCAGCCUAGGAGGGCAGGGGAGCCCCAGAUCUGGACCCAGCCUGCUCAGCUAUCACGGCAUGGUCCCACAGCUGGAAAGCUGCUUGCUGAACGCACGUGGGCAGGUGGAGGAGGCUUGCUCUGCUCUGGCUAAUUGGGUUCAUUUCUCUUAAUUAACGCUCCUCACUAAUGAGCAGCCAUCCCUUCAGCAAAGCCCAAGGAGGGGCUGAUAAACAGGCAAGGAGGGCUGCUAACUGGAUUACGUGCCCUGUGGAGCACGUUGGCUUCUUCCCGUUGGAAAGGAGAGGAAAACGUUGAUGCAGAGAGCUUUAUCCCUGCUUUUUUUUUUCCAUUUCCAGGGAGAGGAGUAGUCCCCAUCCCAUUACCCCAUGGGUACUAUCAUAUGCCUAUCAUGUUGUCCUUCAGGUGAUGCCCUGUGUGCGGAUGUGCCUGGGUUACCACUGAGAUCUCCCAAUUUUGCUCUCCACCACCCCAAUUUGGAGCAUCCUUUGAGGGUUUUCCAACCAUGGGACGAUGUCAGCGGGGAUCACUGAGCCUUUUGGCACCAGGACAGCUGCCUCAGGACCAGGACACCUUCCCCUGGUACAUCACAGGCGCCCUCCAUCUCUGGGAUGUGUCGAGCCCAUCUGCCCCACGCAGAUCCUGCGCUCAUCACAGCCUCUCCUCACCCCCAUCCGCUCCACCAGCUGAGCUUAUUUCCCCAAUUAAACACAACCAGCCCGUGAUGGAAAGGAGGAGGGAGGCAGCGAGGAGGGAUUUUUAUUGGGAAGUCAUUUCUUCCUUAAUUGAAUCACUCCCGUUAAGAGUGGCAAGGAGAAGAGAAACAAAAAGGCGAACAGGAGUGCAAGCAUGGACCUAAACAGAGGAUGCAAAGCCCAAAAUAGCACGCUCCACACCGGGGCAAAGAAACACACGUUGUCCUGAGGCAAAGAAGAUCUCUCUGCUUCUACUUAACCCAUUUUUUUUUUCUUCAUAAUUUUUCUGAAGCUUCCCGUGAAAGUUUCUGGCUUGGAUCAGCCCAUCUAUCUAUCUAUUUUUUUUCCUGGUGUUUUUGUUUUGCUUCCUGGGUGAAAUAUCCCUUGUUACUUGCUCCAUGAGUGUGGCUAGACCCAGACCUUCACUGGUGCCUUCUCUUCUUCUCGUAGAGCCCAGCCGAAGAAUUUCAGUACCACGGGGCUGAUUUGGUCAGGUGUCUGCAUCCCACCAUCUGCUUGUCCCCUUAAAUGGGCUAUUUAAGAGGGGAAGAAAACAAAACAAAACAAAACAAAACAAAACAAACAAAAAACAUUUAUUGGGUUGCCUUUGGCCUUCAGGCACCAAAUCUAAUCUGCUUCUGAUGGAUAUAAUCAGAUAAGGAAUGCCGUGUGUAGGAGCACUCCUUUGGUGCCUUCCUGUCCCCAUCUCCUGCUCCCAACAGCCUGAGCUCGCAUAUCCAGCCCAGGGUUAUGAAAAAGGAAAUAAAUGGGGGAAAAAAAAAUAAAAGCAGAAGAGGAAAAAACAAACAAACAAAAAACUGUUGAGAGCUGGAGGUGCAGGGGAUGAUGGGGAGGUGAAGGAGGAGAUGGGAUUUAGUCCUUGCUCUGCCCUGCAGGUUUGGAGCAUCGCUGGUAUCAUUUCCAGACCUUCCCACCAGCCCAUCCCCAUUCUGGGAUGGGAAACAUCCCCAGCUCCUGUGAAUGUCCCCGCAACCGUGCCCUUCUCUUGUGCCCAAGGUGUCCCCAUUUCAAAUGGAAACAAAAAACGGAGUUUCUCUUGUUUUUCCAUCUUCUGUAAAUUUUUGAUUUUGGGAUCUUGUAGGGUUUUGGGUCAGUGAGGCAAUCCUGUUGGAACAAAAUGUUGCACCUCGUUUGGGAACAACCUUGUUAAAACACAAUGUCUGGGGGGCAAGGGGAUGUGACAUCUGUGUCCCCAAGGAAGAGCCAGCCUGCAAGGUCAUCGCUUUGUAUCUCUGCACACUGAAGACAAGCUCUGUCCGAUCCUCAACGUUGCCUGACCCCACAACCCCAAAACGCUUGGGCAAAUGCCUUUUAAUUGCUGAAUGCUCACUUCUCUGCUAAUUAACAUCCUCACAGGCAUUUAGGAAAUGAUGCUCUUUGUUCAUAAUUACCAGUAAAAGGUGAAUCCCAGCUCCUGGAAGCAAAGUAAUUUUCACCUAGGGGGAAAACCUAUUCCCUUUCCUUUUUUAACGUUGGUGGGCAGAAAGCAGGGUGCUUUAUGGAGGCAGCUCAUGCAGCAGGUGGGGAAACUGAGGCACGAGGCCACGAGAUUCAGAGCAGAAAUAGAAGCCCUGCUUCCACCCUGACGAUCAAUAUUCCUCACGAAAACCUUGGUGGCAGAGCUGGUGAGCUUUUUCCCUCUGCCAAAUCGGUGCCAUCACCUGCCAUCAGCACAGUGCCAUCAGCUCCUGGUGCGGGCUGACCGCAUCCCACGAGGGACGGGAGAUAGGAGAGGGCCUAACUCACCGGUGCUCUCCCAACUGAUCUUCAAAAGCACUUUGAAGUUGGGGAAAUCAGUGGGGUUUUUAUGUUAUGUUUUUCUCUUCUUUUCCUUUUUUUUUUUCCUAGGGUACUAAACUUCCGAACUUUGGUUUUUAAUGAGGAAGGAGCUCCGCGGCUCGCAUCAAACGAUGCUGGCCAGCGGGGCUCUGGAGCAGCAGCUGCACGAACGAGCAGGAAGGUUGAAAAGCAUGAAAAGAAAGGGAAGAAAUUCCUCCGGGUGAGCAUGGAGAUGCCUUGGGGAAACUCCUGGUGAAACCUUUCCCUUCCUGCAUGAGACGUCCCAUCGGGUAGGGGUGCUCCUGGGGAGAAGACACUUGGCCAAAGACAACCUAGCAAAGCGGUGUUGGUUCAGAAACUAUACAAAAUAUUUAAAAUGUUUUAUUUAAAAAAAAAUAAAUCUAGAUUUAUAUUUUGAAAUAGCAAUGCUGCUAAUCAGGAAUUUCACUUGGAUAUAGUUGAUGGUAAGCUCUACUGCACCUCCUGCCACGUGUCCUCGCCCCGUGGUGACAUCCUCAGGAUGCUGUGGGGACUUUCCACAUCACCAGAGCUGGCCAGGGGAAAGAAAGAGCUGCCAGGUCUUAUGCCCACUUGGGAGGCUCCUGGUGCUUUUCCAUGGCCUUCAAGAAGGAGGACAUCACCUCCCACAGCCCCAGCCUUGUUCCCAACACAUGUCCACCAGCCUGAGCUCAGGCGACUGUUUCUCUGCAGGUGUUUUGCCGGAGGGAAGGACAGACGGAAGGCUCCCUUGUGCUGUUCGUCCCUUCCUUGCUCCUUAGUUUAAUUUUAGCUGUUUCUUUCACCGGGGGCUGAGAUGCGCUGCUGGUUUGUUUUCCCCUGCAAAAGCACCCAGACAAAUAUAGACAAGGAUCCAUUUACAUUACAGGCAGGACAAAACAUAGGAGGCUGCUCCUAUUUAAUAAUAGCCACCGUACGGAUAUUGCUCUCAGGGCUUUGUCAUGCAACAGCUUGUUUUAUUAAAUCCUUCACGCCCUGUGCCAGCUUUAUUCAGCUGAGUGGUGCCAGCUUGACAGUCGUCUUGGAGACAAACAUCCUCUCGGGGUCCAUGUUUGUGGGGUCAAGCGCUGCUUUUACGGCAGCCACCAUCCCCUGGACCACCGUGGCUAAAACCUAACCUGCUUUUGGUCACAGGUUUUGGGCUGGAGCCCCUUGGUUGGCCACCAAGCGUUUUCCAAGCCCAUAUCCUCCACUGGGACUUUGUGCAGAAAACCAGGUCCAACCUCUGCUGAACCCUUCCCAAAACAUAAAUCCACCUGCCAACCUUCAUGGAGGUUCGUGUUUUUCCACCUGGUUGCCUAUUCAAGGUGAAGUGCCAAUCCCUGGUCCCUCCCCAGCUGGGCUGAAGGUGUUCUGGCCAAUUUUAAUCAAAUUUGGGAGAGUUGUUGGUCUGUCUGUCUGUCUUGGAGGGACAUUCACUGGUUAAAACCACCCUGGAGCUCUGCAGGACCCUCAGUGUGAGCCCUCUCCACAUGCCAGCACGUCAGAGGGUACCAAAAAUGAUGCUUUUGAGCCUUUUGGUCUAAAAGGCUUGGAUGUGGAGCUGUGGGGGGCAUGUUGGGUUGGGUGCUGAGCACCCCCGAGUCUCUGCUUUCUUCUGGAUGUCCAAGUGGGGCUGGGUGGGCUGCAGAGGGUUCCUAAAGCUUUCCCAAACCAGGGAUGCACUGCGCUCUGCUCUCCCUGAGGAUCAGGAGAGGAGAAUCAGGGAGCGCGUGCACAAGCAGAUGUUGGUUCUGCUAGGUGGAAAAAAGAAAAAAAAGGAAAAAGAGAAAAAAAAAAUCAGUUUUGUUCUGAGCUGAGGUAGGAGAACACAAUCACCACCGCGUCUUCAUCUCGGCGCUUUCUGAGCGAAAACAGCUUUUCAUUUGAGAGACUUCAAGGUGUUUUGGAGAAGUCAAAGCACUGCCAGUUCCAGCGUCCUGCUUGGAGCCCUGUCCUUCAUCUCAAACAGGCCUUGAUCAGAAAACAGAUCUGGUUGUGUGCACGUGAGUGCUGCUGGGGGAUGAAACCCACCUGCACGGAAGUAGCUUAGGGCUUGCUCAAGGGGCAGGGCAGCCAAAAUCUUGCUGCCACCCAUAAGAGGCUGAAUUUUGAGAUAUUUCCUUGCUAUUUACCUGUUCUCUUUGGUCCCCUUCAUUUAUCCAAUUCAUCAUCAUUCAAGAAGUGAGCCCCGUGCCUCAGUUUCCCCAAGGUGCCUGUUAUGAUGUCUGCAGGAUGCUGGGGCCAUAUAAAUAUCUCCAAUAAGUAGUGCUGAGAAAAAAAAAACAUUUAAUUUCCCAUCCCAUGAUCAGAUUUGACUGCAAUGUAUUUCUCAUCUUUAUUUCCCCCCCAGAUUGCUCCCAGCACCAGCUGGGCUGGGAGCCGCUCCUGCCCCACACCUCUGAUAUCAAACAGGAUUUUUCCCACUGGGGGGAAAUCCCCAAACACACCAAAACGCUCGCUUACACAGGAGGGCAAAAAGAGUUGCAAGAAACAAACAGAGCCCAGGUGAUUUAUUCCAUGGAUUUCACGCCGCACAAAGCACCUGGAAAAUAGCUGUGUGGGCUUUCCAUAUGGGUUGCUAUUAUUUUCCAGGGUACAGAAAACAGAUUGUUGGAAGAACUCCCUGUUCUGUGGCUUGUGCUAUUUUUUUUUUUUAAUUUUUUUUUUUUUUUUAAAGCAGAGCAGCAGUCAGUGCUGUUUCCUCUCUGCUGAACGUUGUUUAGCGAUUGCUCCUGGUGCAACUCGAAGCAGGAAAAAAGCUGGGAGCUUUUAAUUAAAAGCCGCAAUCUGCUCUUUCCUCUUGGUGCAAAGUCUCACCUACAACAUGGGAACUGCAAAAUGAUAAUACCAAAAGCACUCUUCCUCCGUGGGGAAGGACUGAGUUUAAACCGUGGGGUUGCCACAAACAGAGGUAUUGGGGAUCUCAGAGAUGGUUUGAGGAAACCUUUGGGCACUUUGCUGAUUUUUUCAAAUUUUUUUUGGUGUUAUCUCCUAAGUUUUAACCCUGGUGUUUGGUCCAAUAAAUAUAUAAAUAAAUAAAACCCACCCCGGUUUUGUUACAUA